UACGUAGGGUGCGAGCGUUAAUCGGAAUUACUGGGCGUAAAGUGUGCGCAGGCGGCCAUGCAAGUCGAGUGUGAAAGCCCCGGGCUUAACUUGGGAAUUGCGCUCGAAACUACGUGGCUGGAGUGUGGCAGAGGAAGGUGGAAUUCCACGUGUAGCGGUGAAAUGCGUAGAGAUGUGGAGGAACACCAAUGGCGAAGGCAGCCUUCUGGGCCAACACCGACGCUCAUGCACGAAAGCGUGGGGAGCAAACAGG
rnacentral:rRNA from 1 species